UACGUAGGUGGCAAGCGUUGUCCGGAUUUACUGGGCGUAAAGGGCGUGCAGGCGGUCAGGUAGGUCGGUUGUGAAAACUCGAGGCUCAACCUCGAGAUGUCGACCGAAACCAUCUGGCUAGAGUCCGGAAGAGGAGAAUGGAAUUCCGGUGGAGCGGUGAAAUGCGUUGAUAUCGGAAGGAACUCCGGCGGCGAAAGCGAUGCACUGGCUGAUUUCUGACGCUGAGGUGCGAAAGCCAGGGAGCAAACGGG
rnacentral:rRNA from 1 species